UCAGGUAGUUUUUGCUACAAUGACCUAAUGAAAAUUCUACUAUAAAUCUCAAAUAAAAGAAUUGACAGACGAGGCUGUGAAAGCAAGGACUCAUGCGAAAGGGGAGGUGGCAAACCAACCUGUGCACGUGCCAAUAUGUCUACCAAAAGUUCCCGGCAGGUUUUAUUAUUAUUUCGGGAAGCCAAUUGAAACACAAGGGAGGAAGCAAGAACUAAAAGACAGAAAGAAGGCUCAUGAAUUGUAUAUAGAAGUGAAGUCUGAGGUGGAGAAAUGCCUAGCUUAUUUAAAAGAGAAAAGGGAGAAUGAUCCUUAUAGGAGUAUUGUACCUCGGCUCAUUUACCAAGCUACUCAUGGCUUUACAUCUGAAGUUCCCACAUUUGAGCUUUGAUUUAUGAUUUGUGUUGUGAGAGAGAAGAGACUUCCUGAUAGCAUCAUCAUAUCACAAAUACCCAGAAAUUAUGACAUUCAGUAAUUCAUAUCGACGUGGAAUAAGAACAUUCAAUUUAUCAAGUAUUUUUUAUCUAGUAGGGGCAGGCAUUCAAUUCCCGAUGACACUGCUGAUAAUGUGAAAACUAGAAAAAAGAUCAUUCAUGUUUUGAGCUUUUAAGUACUUUUAUGUAAGCAAUACUUGCCAUAACUCAUAUUAUAGUCAUAUUCGGAUUAAUCACCUAUGCAGUAAUUUUCAAAUUGCGGCAUGAGGUCAAGUGAGAUAAUGUAAGAUUGAUGUGGUCAUAUGUCACAAUUAUGCAA